UUUCGAAGAGCCACCAGUGGACUGAACCUGACAGUCUAACCUGGAAAACUGAGCCCAUGUUCCUGGUAUUGUUACACCUUCUGUUCUUACCCUCUCAUUUUCCACAUAACAGACUUAUAUCUUUAAACCAUGUUUCUCCUUCAGUUUUUCUGAAGUAAAAAUCUGGUUCUCUCAGAUUGUGGCCUCUUUUCUGUGGUGGACACCAGAAGGCUUCUCUUCUACCUUUUGCCCCUUCUCACUCUCUGUUGAGAUUGACCUUUCUCAUCCCUGUAACAACAUCACCCCUCUUAACUGAACACCACUGGUUUUCUUUGUAAGUCAAAUUCGCCAUCUUGAUCUUCCUCUUUCUGUCAUCUGUUCUGUUUAUACCUAUAUUCUCCCAUCUGUCUGUCCCCCUACUAAUUUUUAUGUCAAUCAAGGCACAUUUUUUUCCUUUCUCUUAUUUUGUGCUACAACCACUUCUUUAGAUACCAGCAUUGGUGAGAGCUCCAAUGACAUUCCCAAAAUGUGCCUUUGUGUGAAGACUUUUCUUAAUUUAAUAUGACAGGAGCACUUUUAGCCAUUAUGAAACUGAGUGAACAGCAAGCUAAUUUUUGUGUCUUUGCUUUUUGUAGUGAAGCAACAGAGACUGGAACUCAGAAAGCUCUCAGGAAUCACUGAGGAAGAAAUGCAGACAAGCAAGAAUUUGGGGAGCUCUUCAUGAGAAAUCUACUCAAAGACCACCUUCAUCCAAUUAAGAAGUGAAUGAAAAAACUGUUAGAAGGACUGUGCACUAACAGGCUGGAGGUGAGACAUGUGUCAGAGCUGACCCAGUCUCUGAAGGGAUUCUGCAAGAGGAGCCUAGGAAGAGUGUCCCGAGGGAAUGGGAAAGGCCCCUGUGUACCAGGAAACACAAGAAAUCCUUCACAUGAUUCUUAUACACAGACGUGCACCCAAGUGGCCAGAACCCAGGGUGAAUAGGGGUAUGUGCCCUUGUGAAGUCCUUCCCCAGGAGAGAGAGAGGAAUUCCCGUUGGAGGCAAGCAUGGAAGCCUGCAGGAAAGAGGGGGCUAUGUGAGCUGGGCCUGGAGGAGCAUCAGGGCAGGCCCGGUGGGCCUCAGCUCCCUUGGCCUGCGCUAGGGUCCUCGGGCCUGGAAUGGGUGAUCUGUACCCCGGCCAUG